ACCAGACAUGAUGCUUCCUGGAGGGAGGCAGUCUGCAGAGCUAUCUCCACGGAAGGCGAGAAAUGAAAGUUCUCAAAUCGACUUGCCCGAGAAGCCAGACGGAGCAGGGAGGCUCAUUCCUAAAUGACCUUCAGCAGCCGAUCCACCUUAGACGGGACACGUGGCCCAGGGAAGGCCCUGGCGUUCAGCCUCCGGGUUCCUCGGACCUGCUCUGCUUUUUCCGCGAUGCACUUGAACUACGAAGAAUGGAGGCUGCAGGUGUGGAAGUCUGAGGUUAGCCCUUUGCAUAUGCUGUCUCAUGGAGAUGUCAUGGUUUACCCUCUGAAUGUCCUUCUCGCCAUACUGCCGACGAGGACUUGAAGCUCAGAAAAGGUGCCUCCUUUGUGAAGCAAGAGAUGGGGAUGAGAUGUUGACAAGUGGGGGCAAAUGACUGCCUUUAAAAAUGGCAACA